AGGACGAACGCUGGCGGCGUGCUUAACACAUGCAAGUCGAGCGGAAAGGCCCUUCGGGGUACUCGAGCGGCGAACGGGUGAGUAACACGUGAGCAACCUGCCCCUGGCUCUGGGAUAGCCUUCGGAAACGGGGAUUAAUACCGGAUAUUCACUGCUUCCUGCAUGGGGGGUGGUGGAAAGUUUUUCGGCUGGGUGGGGCUCGCGGCCUAUCAGCUUGUUGGGGGGUGACGGCCCACCAAGGCGACGACGGGUAG
rnacentral:rRNA from 1 species